GUCCUUUUGAAUUUAAUUGAAGGUCUGACCUGCCCAGUGAUGAAUUUAACGGCCGCGGUAUAUUGACCGUGCAAAGGUAGCAUAAUCAUUAGUCUUUUAAUAGAGGGCUGGAAUGAAUGGUUUAACGAGGAACUGACUGUCUCAUUUUAUUUGUUUUAAAAUUUAAUUUUUUAGUCAAAAAGCUAAAAUUUUAUUGGAAGACGAGAAGACCCUAUAGAUCUUUAUAUAAAUUCUUGUAAUUAUUUCUAUAUUAAUAUGGUUAUAUUAAUUUAUAUUUUGUUGGGGUGACAAAAAUAUAUAAUUAACUUUUUUAUUUAUUUACCAUUGAUAUAUGAAUAUUUGAUCCAUUAUUAGUGAUUGUUAGAUUAAGUUACCUUAGGGAUAACAGCGUAAUCCUCCUCCAGAGUUCAUAUUUACAGGAAGGGCUUGCGACCUCGAUGUUGGAUUAAGAUAAUAAUUAGGUGUAGCCGCUUAAUUUAUAGGUCUGUUCGACCUUUAAAUUCUU
rnacentral:rRNA from 1 species